rnacentral:misc_RNA from 1 species
UCUCCGUUGGUGAACCAGCGGAGGGAUCAUUGCUGGAACGCGCCCCAGGCGCACCCAGAAACCCUAUGUGAACCUAUACCUUACUGUUGCCUCGGCGCAUGCCGGCCCACCAGGGCCCCUCGGAGACGAGGAGCAGGCACGCCGGCGGCCAAGUUAACUCUUGUUUUUACACCGAAACUCUGAGCACAAAACACAAAUGAAUCAAAACUUUCAACAACGGAUCUCUUGGUUCUG